AGAGCCUUGCUGCUGAUUGUUUGCUGCUGUUGUUCAUAUGCAUGGGAUUACUCCUGUCAUCCACUCCCAACAUGUGUGCGCAGUGAGGGAUCUGUGGAUGUGAAAAGCAAUUUUUUCUUUAGAUAUUUCACCUCCACUUCUUGAAUGGUAUAAUGACUUUGUUCUGAGGCCAAGCAUGCAGAUUCUUGAGAAAUAAACUCCGUUUGUCCUAAUCUUUUGUAGCAGUCCAAACUGUCCAUAGCAUUUGCAUGGGGAGUUCACAAGUUAGGCAUGAAGCACCAAGCCCUGUAGCAGCCUGUGCUCUCCUUCAAUGUGUGAUGUUUCAAGAAAAUUCCUGAAUAUCUGAAGUUGUUUGGAUCCAUGAAAGUUAAUGGCAUGCUGAUCAGGAUCCAGCCGUCAAAAUCCUGUCCGACUAAGGAAACAGCUUCAGAAUAUAUCCCUACAAGCAUGGCGUGAGAAAUGUGAUGGAUUUCAAAGGAAUGAAGAUCAUUUUUUCACAGGCUGCUGUGAGACACGUCGCGGUAAGGAUCAGACCGGCAAGCGAUUCUGGCUGACCUGCGACUGCAUUAGAGCCUCUCGUCAGCCCGAAGCUUUGAGCUCGUGGAAACCGAAACCUAGACCGUCCAGGUGGUGGAGCUGCCGUUGCAGCGAGAGAACGGGAACGUACUGAGCUCUGCCUAGGGACGAAUGAAGAACUAGCAGAGCGUUAGCAUGUGAGGCUCGAGGUGCAGCGGUUGCUGCUGAGCCUGCUCCUUGGGGACCCUGGAUCCUGAAAGAGAACUUCUUGAUUGCAAGAGUGGUGGUCAAAGGGUUUUUAGGCAAAAUGGAUGCCAGCAAAUGCUUGAGCUUUAAAGGAGAGGUGCCUGAAGACUGGAGCAUAGCUGGUGUGACUGCAGCCUUGAUUGAGGGUGAGAAGGAUGGCCUCAUCACCAUUCCUAGGAGGUGAUGUAGCAACUUGUUCCAGUUGUCAUCUCCAAGUGACUGGAAGAGAAGUUUCUGAGGAACAUUUGAGGUGAGUGCACUGAGGGGAAAUGGUGCUGGACUCAGUGAUUCUGAUCUUGUUGCAGGGUGAGGGCUAGCUGGAAUAUGUGAGCAUUUUUGCCAGUGGUCAGAUGAAGGAGGUGAGAGAUGGGGACCCAUGGGUGUGAACCAUCCACCAGAGAGCUGGUAUCUAGGUGGCCCCUUGGAGGAGAUGUCUUCCUGCAGGCCUGAAGGAAUGGUGUCAACUGAGAUGUGAGAAGCUGGAAGCAAUAAGUGGCCUAUGGCUGUCCUUUUUCUGCUGGAGCUGAUGUCCUGUGAGUAAGGCUGUGAUUCUGGGUGGGAGCUGCAGUGCUGGAUCUGAGAUGUGCUGAAAGAUCAGAGGCAACAGUGGCUCCUAUGUGGUGAUAGCUGCUUUCUCAUGGUAUUCCUGGGCUGGAAGGAAGAAGAAGAAGAAAACUUUGUUUCACAGCUCAGGUAGAAAGGCAUCCCAGCUCCUGCACAUAACACAGAGCCUAAGACUAUCUGCAU